GGAGAGGGGGGGAGCGCGUGAGGGCCCUGCGCGCGCGUGCGCGCGCGGCGCGAGGCGGUUGGUGCGUCCUGCGCGCGCCGCCCCGGGAGCGGCCCCAAACCCAAACCUGUGUCCGUCCUUAUCCCCAUCCCUGUGCCUGUCCCCGUUCCCAUGCCUGUACCCAUCUCUGUCCCCAUUACUAUCUCCAUCCCUACCCCUGUGCCUGUCCCAGUCCUCGUUCCCCUUCCCGUCCCUAUCCCCAUCCCUAUCGCUGUCCCCAUCCCUAUCCCUACCUCUCUGCUUGUCCUCAUCGUAGCCCCGUCCCCAUCCCUGUCCCCGUCCUUAUCGCAAUCCCGUCCCCAUCCCAACCACAUCCCCAUCCCUAUCCCUGUCCCAGUUCCCGUCCUCAUCCCUAUCCCCGUACCCGUCCCCUUCCCUAUCCCUGUCCACAUCCCCUUUCCCAUUCCUGUCCCCGUCCCCAUUCCCAUCCUUGUCCUUUUCCCCGUCCCGUCCCUAUCCCUGUCCCUAUCCCCGUCCCCAUCGCUGACCCCGCCCCAUUCCAAUUCCCGUCCCAAUCCAGUCCCCAUCCCUAUCCUCAACUCUGUCCCUGUCCCCAUCCCCGUUCCCAUUACCGUCCCCAUCCCCGACCCCGUCCUCAUCUCCAUCCCAGUCCCGUCCUCAUCCCCGUGCCUGUCCCCAUGCCGACACCGUCCCCAUCUUUGUCCCCGUCCCUAUCCCCAUCCUCAUCCCUGUCCCCAUCCUAGGGGGCUCCUCUCCCGGGAAUGGGAUCAGGCGCUGCUCCUCCGUGCGCUUCGUUUCCCGGAGCCCCGCGGGCUCCAAGGAUGCCGCCCGUCCCGGGAAGGGUGGCUCCCCAUCCCGGGAUUUGGCGUUUGUUUAAAACCAUUGCGGUGCCUCCACAAAGCGUUCCCUGUGCACGCAGAGAAUUUUGGGGGAACCAUGUAAUCCCAGCAUAGAUAAAGUGCUGGGAAUGGCAUAUAAGGGAGGGGGGAGGAGGUGUUUGAGGGGUUGGGAGUGGUUAACUGUGAGAUCCAAGCAGCGGAGAGUUUUUCACUUUGAAAAGAGGUGACUAUAGCACUUAAUGGAUGUAGAAUUUACGGGAGAAAGACACAGUGAACGGUGAAGUUGUCUUUUCCUCCCUCUGCUUCUGAUUUUGAACACUUUUGGUAAAUAUGCACCCUUUCCACAUUUUCUUGAAAAAUGAACAAUAGUUAGAAGUAAUUUUCUUUAUGGGCAGCUUCUCCUUUUUGGGGUACAGUGGUACUUAACAUGCAACUAUGCCAGGGUACAGCUAAAACAGCCUAACAGCUGGAUGAUGUUCAGGGAGAUGGAUUGGCUUCUCCCUGAUCCUAACCACCCAUUCCCAGUACUAGUGUUCUCAUCUAACCUGCUGAGAGGGCAGGGAACUAAAGCAAAAGAAAGCCAUUUGUACACAAAAGUGACUUGCUUCUGAAGGAUCAGACAGGCUUUUAGGAGAUACCUACAUUUUUUGGGAUAGCGUAAUUAUACCCUUCAUGUCCUGGAUUAUGGGGUUUUACAGGAUAAGUGCUGGUAACCUGCGAGACAGCAGGGAUAACAGCCUUCAGUGAAUAGGGACAUGAUGGAAGGCUAGUUAUUUCAUGAGAAAACAUGGGGUUUAUGUACUUUGUCAGUGAUGUCUGCGGUGGAUGUAACUCUGUGUGCUCCUCCAUGUCCAGCCUCUCUGCAGUAGAUUCCCACUUCAUCACAGACCUAGAGCAUCCCACCGUAGGGAUUGCUGCAAUCCCAUGAUAUGGUGGGAUUUGGUGGGCCAGCAGAAAAAGAGUAGCCUAUGGAAAUCCAGCUUUUGUGAACAGGGAUACUGUUCAAAGCUCUCCAGGAGGUGCAGAGGGAAAGCCCUGCCUGAUGUACAUCACCACAUCCCUUUUUGCUUUGUGUGUUUUAAAAGACAGAAGUGUUUAUAAAGGACAAGAAUUGCAGCACCCAUAAUCCCGCAGGACCAUCCCUUGUGUAGCCCUGCAGCUGUGCCAUCAUCUUUGCACUCACUCCCUCUGGAAUGUGAGUCCAAAAUUUGGGCUAUUUACUGAGCCAGAGGACUGAGAGAACUGAGAUAAGAAUUACGUUCCAAUGACAUACAUGGAUUUGGAAAAAUAGGUGAAGUUUGUAGUAGUUCCAUCUCCUUACAGUUAUUACUUGCCUGUAGUAUUUUGGCACUGUGCUUUUUACUCUGGUGAAACAUAAUUUGCAUUUUCAGAAUAUACAUUCAUACCCCUCCAUGCUGGUGAGCAUCAGUAUUUUUUUUGUUUGUAAGAGUUUCUGGUUUUGCUCCUUCCAUGACACCCCACUUCUUUUGAUGAGGUCUCUCCCCUUACUCUCUUUUUCUUAUCCCAUUCACCUUUUGGACCCUUGUCUAUUUAUCCAUCUUGUUUCUGUUAACCUGCACCUGCUCCCUCUGUGUUCAUUUGGGGGAGUUCACUACUGCAGGGUUUCCACUCCCCCUGCCUUUAUUGGCUUUAUUUCUUGCCUCAGAUUGCAAUGGAGUUGUCUCACCUUAGGAUAACGCCUUGCUUGUCAGCCUGUGCUGCAGCAGGAACACAGAACUCAUCCUUUCUGGGCAUGGGUUUGUUUUAAAUUUGAAGACAACCUUUUAACUUUCUUUUCUUCCACUGUUUCUUUGCAAGGAACUGGCUAACAAUCCUUACUCCAUCAGAAUCACGCAAAUGCUUUGUUCUAUCUUGACUGUGACACUCAAAUACAGGCAGAUAUAGAGUUUUCAGGGAACUGGUUUGUUUUUCCAUGCUCUAGGACUGGGUGACACUGCUGAUGGCCUUUGGGAGCACUCUGGGACACAGCUACUCAAGCAGCAGCUUAAGCAAAGACGAGAGGAUCUGGAUCAUAGUAAGGCUGUUGUUGCAUUUCUCCUGCCCAGGUGAAGCUUAAACAAUUCCUGGAGUGCUCUGGUGUAGAGGGAGAGUGCACCUGUGGCUGAGAAUGUCUAAUCCAGGCUUUCAGGAGUCAUGGGGGACAGUUCUGCCACCUCCAUCUGCAGCAUGGUCCUGUCUGUGGAAAGAAAGGGAGCACCUGGAGCUGUCGCAGUGGUCUCAGAUCUAUAGGUACUGCUUGCUGCCUGUCCAGAGGGAAAAAUGUGCAAGAACUGGAGUUUAAUGACAUUUUAUUAACUCUUUUCCAUGGCUGGGGCCUCUCACAAGCCACGUGAAGAGUCCUGGACCGAAGCUUUAGUUGCGCUGUCCCUUUAAUCUGGAAUAUGCAGCAGCACUGCUGAGUCACCCCUCCGUUCUCUACCCUCAUUUACUUACUCCUGCCCCUCCCUUAUGCUGGAACAAGCAUUUCUCUAGUUCUGUAGAAAACUGAUCUGUAUUAAAAACGACACGUUUUCUUUA